GAUGAACGCUGGCGGCGUGCCUAAUACAUGCAAGUCGAGCGAACGGACGAGAAGCUUGCUUUUCUGAUGUUAGCGGCGGACGGGUGAGUAACACGUGGAUAACCUACCUAUAAGACUGGGAUAACUUCGGGAAACCGGAGCUAAUACCGGAUAAUAUUUUGAACCGCAUGGCUCAAAAGUGAAAGACGGUCUUGCUGUCACUUAUAGAUGGAUCCGCGCUGCAUUAGCUAGUUGGUAAGGUAACGGCUUACCAAGGCAACGAUGCAUAGCCGACCUGAGAGGGUGAUCCGCCACACUGGAACUGAGACACGGUCCAGACUCCUACGGGAGGCAGCAGUAGGGAAUCUUCCGCAAUGGGCGAAAGCCUGACGGAGCAACGCCGCGUGAGUGAUGAAGGUCUUCGGAUCGUAAAACUCUGUUAUUAGGGAAGAACAUAUGUGUAAGUAACUGUGCACAUCUUGACGGUACCUAAUCAGAAAGCCACGGCUAACUACGUG
rnacentral:rRNA from 1 species